UGUUUACCUCUCCACUCCAGGGAUUUGAAUCGGAAAUGGGAUUAAAUAAUUCUCCUUAGAGGGAAAUGCAUUGUAAGAAGAAUUAUUUCUCCCCAUUCCUGAUUCAGUUCCCUGCCUUAUUCCUACUGGUGGAGAGGUGGAAAAGGAGAAAGGAAAGUUGAAAGAGCACUUAUACCAUCUAAUGCUACUAUAGUCAGAGCUUGCUAUAUGUGGCUCUGCAAAGUGUGAGUGGCCAGUUAAAAAAA